UACAGAGGCCCCAAGCGUUAGGCGGAAUCACUGGGCUUAAAGCGUGUGUAGGCGGAUCGUUAAGUGUCUUGUGAAAUCCCACGGCUCACCCGUGGAACGGCUGGGCAUACUGGCGAUCUUGGGCCAACUAGGGGCAGUCGGAACAAGCGGUGGAGCGGUGAAAUGCGUAGAUAUCGCUUGGAACGCCGAAGGUGAAAACAGACUGCUGGGGUUGCGCCGACGCUGAGACACGAAAGCCAGGGGAGCAAACGGG
rnacentral:rRNA from 1 species